rnacentral:rRNA from 1 species
UGUCGUCAGCUCGUGUUGUGAAAUGUUGGGUUAAGUCCCGCAACGAGCGCAACCCUUAUCCUUUGUUGCCAGCGGUCCGGCCGGGAACUCAAAGGAGACUGCCAGUGAUAAACUGGAGGAAGGUGGGGAUGACGUCAAGUCAUCAUGGCCCUUACGACCAGGGCUACACACGUGCUACAAUGGCGCAUACAAAGAGAAGCGACCUCGCGAGAGCAAGCGGACCUCAUAAAGUGCGUCGUAGUCCGGAUUGGAGUCUGCAACUCGACUCCAUGAAGUCGGAAUCGCUAGUAAUCGUGGAUCAGAAUGCCACGGUGAAUACGUUCCCGGGCCUUGUACACACCGCCCGUCACACCAUGGGAGUGGGUUGCAAAAGAAGUAGGUAGCUUAACCUUCGGGAGGGCGCUUACCACUUUGUGAUUCAUGACUGG